rnacentral:tRNA from 2 species
GCCCGAGUGGCGGAAUGGUAGACGCUGCGGACUUAAAAUCCGUUUCCAGUAAUGGAGUGAGGGUUCAAGUCCCUCCUCGGGCA